rnacentral:rRNA from 1 species
UACGUAGGGGGCAAGCGUUGUCCGGAUUUAUUGGGCGUAAAGAGCGUGUAGGCGGCCUGACAGGUCUGCUGUGAAACUCGAGGCUCAACCUCGAGAUGUCGGCGGAAACCGUCUGGCUAGAGUCCGGAAGAGGAGAGUGGAAUUCCUGGUGUAGCGGUGAAAUGCGCAGAUAUCAGGAAGAACACCUAUGGGCGAAGGCAGGCUCUCUGGGACGGUACUGGACGCUGAGACGCGAAAGCGUGGGAGCGAACGG